rnacentral:misc_RNA from 1 species
UUUUUAUUAGUUUGCGACUCUAGACUUUCGCCAUAGAGCUUAAUCGCGGCUUUAGUUCAGUUGUUUAAAUGUUUUUAUACGCCUGUGACAGCGGUAUAAAAAUAAUGGUGGGUAGUCGACUACACAAAGCGAUGCAAGCAAAGCAGUGUGAGCCAAACAUACCGGAAGUUCCGCGGGUCAACAUCAGGCCUGAAGACCGAAGCCAACAGAGCCUUCUGUUUUGUUUUUGGGUGUGGUAAUGAUCCUUCCGCAGGUUCACCUACGGAAA